rnacentral:rRNA from 1 species
CCUACGGGAGACAGCAGUCGGGAAUAUUGCGCAAUGGAGGAAACUCUGACGCAGUGACGCCGCGUGCAGGAAGAAGGUUUUCGGAUUGUAAACUGCUUUAGACAGGGAAGAAAAAAGACAGUACCUGUAGAAUAAGCUCCUGCUAACAACGUGCAAGCAGCCGCGGUAAUACGUAGGGAGCAAGCGUUUUCCGGAUUUAUUGGGUGUAAAGGGUGCUUAGUCGGAGAAGCAGUGUAGGUGUGAAAUCCCUCGGCUUAACUGAGGAACUGCAACUAAAACUACUUACCUUGAGUACUGGAGAGGAAAGCGGAAUUCCUAGUGUAGCGGUGAAAUGCGUAGAUAUUAGGAGGAACACCAGUGGCGAAGGCGACUUUCUGGACAGUAACUGACGUUGAGGCACGAAAGUGUGGGGAGCAAACAGGAUUAGAUACCCUAGUAGUC